AUCAGACUGAUCAAACACAAAGAAGAAAUGCACUGAAAACACCAAAACACCUGAAUGAUCCUGAAACACAACGAAACUGGAUGAUUACAGGACUUUUCCCUUCACAACAUCAAGCCAACUCGAGAAGACUCUGGAGAAGAUGAUCUGCUGUAGCGCCCCCUAUUGGAAGAAGAAGAAGAAGCAGAAGAAGAUUAUAUUAAUGUCACAAGCCUUCAAGCAUUGAAAGUAAAAGUUCGGCGCUACAUGAGAGGCGCUCGCGAUGCACCUGGACACAAAUACCAACUUUCAUCUUUUUAAAUCAUCACAUCAUCAUCUCUAAUAUUUAUAUUUAUAUAUAACACAUGUAUGAGAGCAAAUAAACGCUUGUAGUUUUACUUCUUCAGGAAAACGUGAGUCUGUGUGCAGGUUCUGCUCCCAACACCAAACCCAAACACAAUGUCAGACAGUUUAAUGUGAAUGUAUCUGGAUGUGGUGUAUUGGAGAGGUGGAGGAGAUGCUGCACGCUGUUUUGUCCUCAUUCAGAAGAGAGAUGAAGGAGAAAAGCGAGAGGAAAUGAGAAAAGAGCGCGAGGUAUUCCACUAAAGAAACCGAAUCCUCCUGCAGGCCUGAACAAACAGCUUCAUCAGAACAGAAAAGAUUUUAAUCAGCAGCACCGGUUCUGGUUCUGGUUCUGGUUUGAACUCGACACAGAAGAUGCUGGUUUGAAACUUUGUAUCUGCACACCUUCCAUAAAAUCUAUCUAUAGAACCCUCAGAUGUUUGCUCUCUACUUUACUGGCUGUAAAUCUCCUCAGAUGAGCAUCUUCUGUUCAUUUCAGACACAACACUUUCAAAAACCUGCUUAUCGCUCCUUAAAGGUUCUCCAAACGCUCUUUGAAGGAUCUUAAGGGGCAUUUUGAGGGUUCUUUCAGGGUUCUUCCAGGUUUCUUGUUCUCCUCCUUUGUGCCAUGAUCUAAUUCUGCUUCUAACCAGAAUCCCUGGAAAGUUUACCUCUGAAAUCUUCUAGUUCUUCAGACAAAUUAGGUUUUUUCUCCAUGUGUAAUCUGACAGCUGCAGUAGCCUCUGUGCAGAAAACACAAACAAUUCAUUUACCACCUGAGUGUCUUCUGACGUCGGAGUCGUGUUUGUUCUGUACCUGAUACAGAAACGAGGUCAUAAUCCCAACCGGAGGAUUUAUUUACAGUGUGCACCUCACGUUUCUGCUCUGGAUCUCCAACCUCCUGUAUUUCUGAGAAUUUAGAAACGUUUGGAUUUCUGUCGUGACUUUUUUUUUCUAUUACACCAAAUCGGUAUGAUGCAGAAAAACAUCUGAGACUCUGCAGAUGAACGGAUGAGAUCUGUCUACAGAGCUUUCUGCACUUCUCACGUGACGAGUGAACGCAUGAGCGAUUCAGGAAUUAAAGAAGAUGGAGGCUGGACAUGGUUCCACAUGAACAGCUAAAAGAUCUAAGAGAAACGAAAGAACUUUGAGGAUGAAUAUGAAGUCUCCUCCAAUGUUCUCAGGACCACAGUUUAUAUAAACAGUUCUGCAUGUAAAUGUCCAUCACUGAACCCUUUAUAACCUCAACACUGAUGGAACUGUGAUAAAGCACAUUCAGUGUUGAGGAUGAGGUUCCCUUUUAAAUCUGGUUCCUCUCAAGGUUUCUUCCUCAUGAAGUCUGAGUUUUUUCUUCACCACUGGAUCACUUAUUAGGGAGAAACUUCUACAUUCCAACUUUAUAAACUCUUUAUCUCUGUGAGCUGCUUUGGGAAAAUGUCCACUGUUAAAACUCUACACAAAUAGAAUGUAAUGGAAUAUGAUUCAUGAUUGUGGAAGUAGAUGUUUCAGGGUAUUUGGGUUUAAAAUAUUUACAAUAUAUUUUAAUUCUUUUAAAAUAAACUGAAUGAUUGAAAUAAAGAUUUGUUUAUUUGACCAAAAAUGAUUGAAAUAUCCGUUAAAAUGAGCUGAUUUUCCUCCUCACACGUGAAGCAACGUGACUCGCCACAUUCGGCUCCUACAGAUUCGCCCUGUUCCAGAAGAUGAAGAUCCAGCUCGCCGUUUGACACCAUGGUGAAGAUCCGGUUCGAGCAGAAGAUGCAGAAGAUGAAGAUACUGGAGAAG